GACGAACGCUGGCGGCGCGCCUUACGCAUGCAAGUCGAACGGAGCCGGUCUUCGGACCGGUUCAGUGGCAGACGGGUGAGUAACACGUAAGCGACCUGCCCGCAAGUGGGGAAUAACUCUCCGAAAGGAGAGCUAAUACCGCAUACGCCCGCAGCCGUAGGGGCUGCGGGCAAAGCCGAAAGUCGGUUUCGGCUGACACUUACAGAUGGGCCCGCGGCGCAUGAGCUAGUUGGUGAGGUAACGGCUCACCAAGGCGACGAUGCGUAGCCGACCUGAGAGGGUGAUCGGCCACACUGGGACUGAGACACGGCCCAGACUCCUACGGGAGGCAGCAGUAGGGAAUCUUCCACAAUGGACGAAAGUCUGAUGGAGCAACGCCGCGUGAGCGAUGAAGGCCUUCGGGUCGUAAAGCUCUGUUGUUAGGGAAGAACAAGUACCGGAGUAACUGCCGGUACCUUGACGGUACCUAACCAGAAAGCCACGGCUAACUACGUGCCAGCCGCCGCCGUAAAAC
rnacentral:rRNA from 1 species